UGAGGAGAACGUCGGAAUCUGCCUAUUUGUGGGGGAUAACGUAGGGAAACUUACGCUAAUACCGCAUACGACCUACGGGUGAAAGUGGGGGACCGCAAGGCCUCACGCAGAUAGAUGAGCCGACGUCGGAUUAGCUAGUUGGCGGGGUAAAGGCCCACCAAGGCGACGAUCCGUAGCUGGUCUGAGAGGAUGAUCAGCCACACUGGAACUGAGACACGGUCCAGACUCCUACGGGAGGCAGCAGUGGGGAAUAUUGGACAAUGGGCGCAAGCCUGAUCCAGCCAUGCCGCGUGUGUGAAGAAGGCCUUCGGGUUGUAAAGCACUUUUGUCCGGAAAGAAAAGCUUAGGGUUAAUAACCUUGAGUCAUGACGGUACCGGAAGAAUAAGCACCGGCUAACUUCGUGCCAGCAGCCGCGGUAAUACGAAGGGUGCAAGCGUUACUCGGAAUUACUGGGCGUAAAGCGUGCGUAGGUGGUUUGUUAAGUCUGAUGUGAAAGCCCUGGG
rnacentral:rRNA from 1 species